UAAAAAUUAUUGUCAUGUUGGUGCAUUGAGUAGGGGUCAGUUUUUCGAUUUUCUUUGUACUUUUCCUAACGAUUGGGAAAAUCCAGGAAAUAUUCGGAAAAAAAGGCAUUAUUUAUUUGGUUGUUUUUAAUAAUAAUAACAAUAAUAAUAAUAAUUCAGUUUAAAAUAUUCGUACAGACCUGAAAUUUCCAUCGAAUACUGACCUAUAUUGUACUUAGACCUUCCUGGGUGCGAUGCAAUUU